GUCACCAGUGGGUUCAUAGAUGGCAUUUUCAGAACAGAGUCUCAGCUGGGCACAACCAGAGCUCCCAUUUGGGCUGGCAUGGUGAUGGGAGUCCCAGGCGUGCUGGCUUUGUUCUCCUCGCAGAGGAAGAAUCCAGUUCUUCUCCUUCACACUGAACUAUGGUGAAGAGGAGGAGCUGAAUUCUGCCCCAGUCCAUGUUAUCCAUACUAGGUUUAUACUCAGUAAAGUUGUCAAGGGUGCUAACAUAGCCAUGCUGGCUGUGUCCAUCUGCAGUGCCUUUUCUGUGUUGGCCAUGGCUUACUUGGGAUGCCGGAGCCUUCCAUGCUGCUCCUGCUAUGACAGUGUAACUGGGAUGGAAUGGUUGCAGCCUAGUGAGGACCAAAAUCAGGCUGUGGAAAUGACUUGUGCAGUACAAAGCUAUGGGAGGAGAAUUUUUGACUUCACAGAUCAGUUUCCCACCCAGGAUGUAGAUGCAGAAGAAGACACAUCCAAACCUCCAUCAUAUAUCAGAAUGACUUGAAAAAGUGGCCGAACAUUUUGUUCAAAUGUGGCAAGAGAUAUGGAAUAAGUUCUUUAAAGAUGGUUAUGCACUUUUCCUUGGCCCUUUGAAAAACACACACAGAGCAAACUAGUGAAUACCCAGCACUGGGCAGAGAUCACAGUGCAGAGGGAAAGAUCUGCAGGUGAUUUUGAACUUUCAGACUCUGUAUAGUGAAAAUACCUCAUUACUUCUGGAAAGUGAGAGCAUUUUUUCCUCUGGCCUAAAUCAUAUCAUUUCUCUAGAAUUCAUCAUGCAAUUUGUGCAGCAGUGCUAGCCUUAGGCAUUUCAAUAUUAAAUACAAUUCCUUUUUCUUCAACUGCUAUCUCAAUUUUUCCCUCUUACUGCAUGAAUUAUUGGGAUGAUAAUGAAGGAUGCCCUUCAUCCUUGAGCUUCAGAGUGUUUUCCUUUUCUUCUUGAUAGGAGUGGGGGCAGGUAAAGUUUUUUAUAUGAAACCUUAAUAGCUCCAUUCAAACCAACCUCUGUCAAAAGGUGGCUUCUGUGGGGUGUACAUGUGUUAGUACAAUUAGUUUUAGUGCUGAAGUGUAACUAUAGAGUGUGGCAGGAACUGGAGUUGCAGUAGCUCCUCUUAUGAAGUAACUUGAAUACUCUAAAUUCAGUUCAAAUUUUUCUAUUUUGACUUUGUAGAUUGAAAAUUUAAAAUAAAUCCUUAUUUUAGGGCC